GGCAGUGCCGGUGACAUAUCAAUUAGAUGUCCGCCCCAUCAAUUGUUGACGGUAAGGUAGUGGCUUACCGUGGUUACAACGGGUAACGGGGAAUCAGGGUUCGAUUCCGGAGAGGGAGCAUGAGAAAUGGCUGCCAGAUCUAUGGAUUGCAGCAGGUGCGAAAAUUAUCCACUUUUGGCAUAAAGAGAUAGUGAUGAUAAAUAACGGAUCUGGGCAUUUGUUCAGAGAUCGUAAUGAAAUAAUCGUAAAAGCUUUAAUGAACGCAAUUGGAGGGCAAGUCUGGUGCCAGCAGCCGCGGCAAUUCCAGUUCCAAUAGUGUAUACUAAAGUUGCUGCAGUUGAAAAGCUCGUAGUUGGAUCUCGGCUUGCUAGCGCGCGAGGCGUGUGAGUAGGCCUUUGCUGUAGUUGAGUGCUACGGCUUUACCUUGAACAAAAUAGAGUGCUUAAGGCAAGCAUUCUGCUUGAAUAUCUCAGCAUGGAAUAAUAGAAAAAGACUUUUCUGUUGGUUUACCAGUAGUAAAAGUAAUGAUUAACAGAGACAGACGGGGGCAUUCGUAUCGCACCGCUAGAGGUGAAAUUCGUAGAUCGGUGCGGGACGAACUACAGCGAAAGCAUUUGCCAAGGAUGUUUUCAUUAAUCAAGAACGAAAGUUGGAGUAUCGAAGUCGAUUAGAUCUCGUCGUAGUUCCAACUAUAAACGAUGCCAACUAGCACUCCGCUAAUAAGUAUUAGUACGUUAGCGGGUUGCUUCCGGGAAACCAAAGUCUUUGGGCUCCGGGGGAAGUAUGGUUGCAAAGCUGAAACUUAAAGGAAUUGACGGAAGGGCACCACCAGGAGUGGAGCCUGCGGCUCAAUUUGACUCAACACAGAAAAACUCACCCGGGCCGAACACAGUAAGGAUUGACAGACUGAUAGCUUUUUCUUGAUACUGUGGGUAGUGGUGCAUGGCCGUUGUUGGUUGGUGGAGUGAUCUGUCUGGUUAAUUCCGAUAACGAACGAAACUCAGGCCUACUUACUAGUUGUUCGAUUGCUGGUCGAUCAACUUCUUAGAGGGAUCAGUGUUUAAAACACUUGAAAAUGAGCAAUAACAGGUCUGUGAUUGCCCUUAGACGUUCGGGGCUGCACGCGCGCUACAAUGGAGAAAGCAGUGGGUGUCUUGCUUGGCAAAGCAAGCUGAGCCUUAAAAUUUCUUCGUGACAGGGAUCGAGGCUUGUAAUUAUUCCUCGUGCACAAGGAAUUCCUAGUAAUCGCAGGUCAUUAGCCUGCAAUGAUUACGUCCCUGCCCUUUGUACACACCGCCCGUCGCUACUACCGAUGAAUGAUU
rnacentral:rRNA from 1 species